GAGAGAUCCAGCAGUGAGUCUGACUCCUAGCCCCGUGUUCCAGACUCUUUUCCCUCUGUAGCACAGUAAGAACUUUAAUUCCUUUUGACUACUGACUUGAUUUCUGGUGGGGGCUUCUUCUGGUUUUAUGGUCUGACCAUUUGGUGAUAUCUGUAAAUGGAUUGAUUGUACAUGAGAGGUCUUGUCUACACUGGGUAAAAACCAACAGAGAAUCUGGUUUGCUAAUAAUCUGUCUGUUUGUCUAUUUGGAUAUUUUGAGCUCAAAUCGAUUUAGAAUCCAUAAGAACUAGAAAGAGAACAGUUCUUUGCUAUGGAAGAAUAAAUUUUGUAAUUCUGUGUCUGCACUUGAUUCAGGACUAAACUUUUAUGAUUAAAGCUACAAACACCCUACCUGUAUCUGUAGGUAUGCUUAUGUGUCUCUGAGUGUGGAAUAUAUAUCUAUCUCUGGGUGGAAUUACCAAAUCAGAGUAUAAAAUGUCUUAAAGGAGCUCAUUUCAAUUGGCUUAAGAUAAAUAAGUGCUUAUAUAAAUUAAAUAUUCCUAAAAUUUGCAAAGAAAAAACAAGGAAAUUGAACUUUCAAUAAUGUAAAUAUCCUUAAAAAUUAUAUAAAAAUUAAUUCAAAUGCUUUAAGAAUUCAAGUUCAUGUACCUUAGGUAAAAUGGGUUAGUUUAAUGUUUUUGUUUAAUAAAAACAACUGUGUCUCAACAUUGAGUAUAAUACAAGUUUACUUGUAUAUUUGGGUCUGUUGUUCACCUACUUUCCCAAAAUUAAAUACUAUAUCUUGUAUUCCUAAAAUUGCCUUUGAGAUUUCCCAGAGGGUCCUUGAAAGACCACAAAGGAUUUGUUCUUUUACGUUCUAAAAAGAAAGAUGCUAGAUAACUAUGUCAAUGUGAUAUUUUGCUACUGGUAAGUUGCAUACGAAGCAUUGUCAAUUCAGGAAGUACUUAGCCUUCUCUAAAUAAAAUUUAUACCUAUUUCAAAAAUUAAAUGCUGUAUGGAAAGUUCCUAGAGAUUUGUCAGUGUCCUAGCUGUCGAUGGUAUGUUUCUAUUUACUAGAGAUCUGGUGCUUCCUUGCCUGAUAGUAGACAACAGUGUAGUGUUACUGGCCAUAAUUUCAGAUAUUUUAAAAUGUGAAAUUCAAUGCAACUUUACCUCUUUAAUUUGUAUCAGGCAUCUUCUAGCCUAGUGCCUCUUACGUGGGGAUUUACAUCAUUUCCCUAUGGAGUUUUUUCAUAUUUGGAUGUUCAGGACAUACUCCAGAUUUACUGCAUCUGUAUACUUGAUGAUUUUGAUACAUUCUUGGCACAUUCUAACUAGAUGCUUGAUAUAUUCAUGGUGUAUUGUGUCUUGGGAUUAUUAUAGUUUAUAUCUGAACCUUGUUUUUCUCUGUAAAGAUUAUGUUACCAAUUUUUGUAAAUCAGAUGUAAUAUCUACCCUUCUUUGAAAACAAAGUUAAUCACUAUGUUUAUGGAUAUUUUAUCUAAAGCUUUUUGGCUUGAUUUUAUUUUGUUCUGCCUGCCAAAAAAACCACAUCAUGUGUUAUCAGUUGCAUUAUUUUUGUAAUAAAUUCUGAUCAGAUCUUUCCCCUUUAAAAUUAUCAUUAAUUGACAACAGCAAUUUUAAAUCUCUUGUUAUCCACAGAUAAUUUUGUUUUCUUUUCUUUUGUUCUGGCCCUUCUCUGAAAGCACUUAUAUUCAACUACAAACAAGAAAGUUUUGACCCUAAAAAAAAGAUUGUCUCAGGGCACCAUGGGAAAGAAAUACACCAAAUAAUCUUGGACACAGGCUUCUGAUGGCAUUGUAUAAACCACUUUGAAGCCAUAAUAGUUAGGCUAUCCAGAACUCUCGUCAAAAGCAAAUAGUUUAAGGAGACUGAUAAUCUAUGAUCAAGUGGAACAAGAUCAUUAUAUGGGGUAGAAUGAACUGAUGAGGGAUGAUUACGGUUUUUGUUUGGAAUAUUUUUGAUAUUUAAUAUUUUAGUUUCUGGAUAUAACAAACAUCAUUGUCUUUCCUCUAUCUUUUACCUCUAGCUCUAUCUAUGUAUAAUUUAUAACAAUUUAGUAGAAUGUUUUUAUAAAGAGAAAUGAAACAUGUAUUUUUAUCUCCCUACCAGAAUUCAGAAACUUGUAUGUGUAUUCUUAUUUUCAUGGCAAUAUCGUUAUUUGCAUUGAUUCAAUAACAGUUUAUCCUCCUUAUUAACAGCACAUAUUGAAAACGAUAGUUAUGCAACCAAGGCUUUGCUUAGAAUGUCAUACUUGAUAAUGAUGCUUACUGAAUCAGAAUUACCAGACAAUUUUAAGGAACUUCACUUGACUUGAUGGAGUCAAUGAUUACAAAGCCCUCUUUUAAAAAGUGGUCAGAUAACUGGCUUACUGAGUUCCCAGCCUUAGAGAUCAAUAAGGAAGUUCACUUCCAGGCAGACCCAGGAACCUCAUAAUAAUUUGGGGAUUUUGACAAGAGAGGAACUUCAAAUUUGUAGGUACUGCUCAUGAAGUCUGAGAGGGAAUUCCUGGUUUGGCUUCCUAGCCUGAGAGAGGCUUUUAAGAGUCAAAUCUAGAUUCUUUCUGAAACUUCUAGCAAAGCAAAUUUAAGAAUACCCACACUAUCUAGCACAAUGCUUGGAACAUUAGCCUUGCCCAAUAGUUAUAUCUUGAAUGAAUGAAUGAAUGAAUGAAUCCAUAAUAAUUAUGUUAACAAUCUUAUUCUUUUGUUAAUUCAAUAACUAUUUAAAGAGUUGAUACGAGUUGCUUUCUUAGGUUCUAGAGAUAUAAGGGUGAAUGAGAAAGACAUCACAGAAAUUACAGUCUGCUUCAAUCUUUAGAUAAGCAUCUAGAAAUCAGUCUUUCGCCUCCGUCUUUCAAAUUUAGUUUUAGGUAAGGAUUUUUCUACAAAGUACGUGACAGGAACUUUCCUUCGGGGAAAAAAGCACAUUCUGAAAUGUAAAGUUAUCUCGAAAUCUAGAUGGAUACAGGCAGAAAACAUUUUUAUGAGAGUUGGCUACAAUGUAGAAAGAAUUUCAGCAAGUGAAAAUAUUCAAAGCAAAUUUGGCAGAGAAAAAAAGACAUGAGGUUUUAAUUUUGUACUUAGUCCAAUUCAUAAAUAUUUGUUAAGUAAUAGUCCUCCAUGUGGUGAAAUUUAAACCAAUGAUACAAUGAGUAUUUUUUUUAAUUUAUUUUUUUUAAUUUACAUCCAAAUUAGUUAGCAUAUAGUGCAACAAUGAUUUCAGGAGUAAAUUCUUUAGUGCCCCUUACCCAAUUAUCCUAUCCCCCCUCCCACAACCCCUCCAGUAACCCUCAGUUUGUUCUCCAUAUUUAUGAGCAUCUUCUGUUUUGUCCCCCUUCCUGUUUUUAUAGGAGUUUUGUUUCCCUUCCCUUAUGUUCAUGUGUUUUGUUUCUUAAAGUCCUCAUAUGAGUCAAGUCAUAUGAUUUUUGUCUUUCUCUGACUAAUUUCACUUAGCAUAAUACCUUCCAGUUUCAUCCACGUAGUUGCAAAUGGCAAGAUUUCAUUCUUUUUGACUGCCAAGUAAUACUCCAUUGUGUAUCUAUACCACAUCUUCUUUAUCCAUUCAUCCAUCCAUGGACAUUUGGGCUCUUUCCAUACUUUGGCUAUUGUUGAUAGUGCUGCUAUAAACAUGGGGGUGCAUGUGUCCCUUUGAAACAGCAUACCUGUAUCCCUUGGAUAAAUGCCUAGUAGUGCAGUUGCUGGGUUGUUGGGUAGUUCUAUUUUUAGCUUUCUGUAGAACCUCCAUCCUGUUUUCCAGAGUCGUGGCACCAGUUUGCAUUCCCACCAACAAUGCAAAAGAGAUCCUCUUUCUCCGAAUCCUUGCCAACAUCUGUUGUUGCCUGAGUUGUGAGAGUUAGCCAUUCUGACAGGUGUGAGGUGGUAUCUCAUUGUGGUUUUGAUUCGUAUUUCCCUGAUGAUGAGUGAUGUUAAACAUUUUUUCAUGUGUCAGUUGGCCAUCUGGAUGUCUUCUUUGGAGAAGUGUCUAUUCAUGUCUUCUGCCCGUUUCUUCACUGGAUUAUUUGUUUUUUGGGUGUUGAGUUUGAUAAGUUCUUUAUAAAUUUUGGAUACUAACCCUUUAUCUGAUAUGUCAUUUGCAAAUAUCUUCUCCCAUUCUGUCGGUUGCCUUUUGGUUUUGCUGAUUAUUCCCUUUGCUGUGCAGAAGCUUUUUAUUUUGAUGAGGUCCCAGUAGUUUAUUUUUGCUUUCGUUUCCCUUGCCUCCAGAGAUGUGUUGAGUAAGAAGUUGCUGCGAUCAAGAUCAAAGAGUAUUUUGCCUGCAUUCUCCUCGAGGAUUUUGAUGGCUUCCUGUCUUACAUUUAGGUCUUUCAUCCAUUUUUGAGUUUAUUUUUGUAUAUGGUGUAAGAGUAUUUUUUAAAUUCCUGUUUAAAAGACCUGCUAAAACAGGUGUGCCUGGGUGGCUCUGUCGGUUGAGCAUCUGACUUCGGCUCAGGUCAUGAUCUCAAGGUUCAUGAGUUCGAGCCCCGCCUUGGGCUCUGUGCUGGCAGCUCAGAGCUUGGAGCCUGUUUCAGAUUCUGUGUCUCCCUCUCUCCCUGCCCCUUCCCUGCUCAUGCUCUGUCUCUAUCUCUCAAAAAUAAAUAAACAUUAAAAAAAAUUUAAAAAGACCUGCCAAAAUAAAUGUAUGUGUUUUACAAUAAUUCACUGCAUAUUUCUUUCAGCCUGAUAUGAAAUUCUAGAAAAUUGAUAAGUCUCAGACUUUCCAAGGAGCCAAAAAAGGAUUUGCAUGCUUAUUGGAAAUAAAUUCUUUAAAUGAAGAUGCUAUUUGUUUGUUUAGUCUUCUUGUUCUUUUUUAGGUUAAUAUUCCCAUAUUUUCCAACAUUCUUGAAACUUCUAUAAUAAUCAGACAGAGUAUAAUUAAGUGAAAGUAUCAUGGUGAGGUAACCAGUUAAAAUAAAACUGAGACUAGUAUACUAAAUAAUUUGCCUUUGAUUGCAUGUAACAUAAUUAUUUUCAUCAGUUUAUCACCCAAAGGUUCUGUACAGCCACAUUAUCAACACAUUAGUUUUUCCUUUGAAUUUUCCAGGAAGACAUUUGAAUUUUCCUUGACCAUAUACUAAAAAAUAUUUCUGUUCAUGGGAAUUAAUGGACUUUAGAUAUUAGUCUAUUGGAACCUCAUGGAACUAUCAUCUGAUGGAAGUAUCAUCUUUAUUUGCGGUUAACAUUCCCGUUAACUUCUUAGCAUUCCUGUCAAUACAGAGGCAUUUUUAUAAAUUCCCCAAGACAACCAACUAAGAAAGAGGAAAAUAGAAUGCCUGAGUGGCUCAGUUGGCUGAGCAUCCAACACUUAAUUUCCUCUAAGGUCAUGAUCCCUGGGUCAUGGGAUCCAGCUUCACAUUCAGCUUAGCACAGAGCCUGCUUGGGAUUUUCUCUCUCCCUCUGCCCCUCUCCUAGCUUGCACUCUCUCUCUAAAAUAAAAAAUAUAAUAAUAAAAUAAAAGAGAAAGAAAAGAAAAGAAAAGAAAAGAAAAGAAAAGAAAAGAAAAGAAAGAAAAGAAAAGAAAGAAAAGAAAAAAAGAGGAAAAUGGUACCCCAAACUAUUAAUUUUCAACUUAAGUCCUUUUGUUGCAAUUGACUAUUUUGGAGUCUCAUUUUUUUUUUUUUUACCUGCAGAGGUGUUUCGUUUUGUUUUGUUUUUUUGAAUCUGCAGGCUUUUUCUCAAGCAGUAGAACUUGUUAAAAGCUUUCAUUCAAUAAAUGACACAUGAGUAAAUGAAAAUGAUGGGAGGCAUUUAUGCCUAUCAUACCAUUCUAAAUUCUACAUUUCUUGCGAUGCAUCUCUUGAACUGCAUCUGCUCUUUCAAGAAAGCACUACCUUGUUGAUGAUUGAGCACUUGAAAUCCAUUAUGACUCUGAAACAAGCUGAGGAUUCCCAAUACUGAAAAUCUCCCAGUCUGUAGCUUUCAUUCAAAAAAACUCUGUCUCCUAUUUCUUCCAGGAUAAGAAACCAGAAUGGAACAAAGAGAUGGGAAUUGCUAUUCUGUGGGGAAAAAAUAUCAGCUGCUAGCAAGCCAGGGUUUUUGAAAUACAGGAAAUCUCAUCAGUGUUUUUACAUCUAACAUUGAGACCACUUCAGACCGAUUUCUUGGCCCUUUAUUGAACGCUCAGCACCAACACUGAAUGCAAAAAUGCUAUACAAAUUAGUAGAGUAAGAACAAAUCUAAAAGUCAACUCCAUAAAGAACAUCCCAAACACAUACCCCGGGAUAAGUUCUCCCCAAAUUAAACUAUAUUGACUGACAAGUCUACUGCAAUCCCAAUUAAACAGAUUAUCAAUAGAUUAUAGAUAUUUUGCUUCAUUAUAUUCUGUUAAUAUCACCUUGCGAACACGGUUGUGUAAAUGUCAUUAAUUCAGAUUUUGAUUGAUUCUUUCCCAAAUGUGUGCUGUGCUGCAAAACUGCAAAGACACCUGCAGCUAAUAACCAUUGUUAACUACACGGAACAGCUAAUCAUCCAACCUGAAAUCUGAGUCUCAAGUUGGAUAUAUUCAAGAGGGGAUAGUAUAAAAGUUCUUGAGUUCAAGAGGUUUAGAAAAUUUGUUACUGAUGCAUUACAGUGAACAUUUGGAGCAAUACGUCAACUGAUGAGUCUAUUUCCUCAUAAUAUGUUAAAGACCAAUCUUAAAAAAUUUGGUAUUUGUGAGAAAUAAUGUAUUACCUCUUACCAAUGCUGAUAUCAUCCAAAAAAAUCUAACCUAGAAUGGCUAAGAGGUUUACUAAAGGAAGUAUGCGAUCUUCUGUCUUUCCUAUUACGCCUCUAUCCUGUUAGUCUUGAGUGUAUUUAAAAGGAUUCUUCAUGUGAACCAGCUAAUCCCCUUCUCUAGUCUUCUCCCUGCCCCAAUUAGAGGGGAAAAAAAUAUAUCCACAUGAAUUAAAAACUGAAUCACUAAAUAAAUUCAAUGAAUCAUGUUUUUUACAGCAAGCAGAGCUUCAGGUUUUUACAUUUCUAUUUAAAUGUCAUUGUUAUACAAAGAACACGUGUGCAACAUAGGAAUAUAGGAAAAUAUAGGCAAAAAGUAAAAGAAAAAAUAUAAGCUACCCAUAUUCUCAUCACCUAGAUAGAUAUAACACUUUUGAUAUUUGGUAUAGAUUCCUUCAGACAUAUUUUUUACUUUUCUAAGUUUAUUGGAAGCAAAAUAAUCUUUGAAUUGUCAGUUUCUUCUAAAUUUUAAAAUGAUGAGAAAUGUCCAUGCAUAUUAGUUAAUUGGACUGCCCAUGUCAGAGACACUUCAUGACCUUCAGAAUCUACUCUGUAGAAUGUAAAGAACAAAACCAGGUGGCUUUUCUUAGUAUCAACAAGAUAUUGACAGAAUACCAAAGAGUGAUACCAGGAAUUAAUUUAGACAAAAUAUUUGAAAAGGAGAAGGAAUAUUUUAUCUUCUGGCUUUCUCUAAGCAGUUUCUUCAAGUAAAAAUCUCAGGUUGCUGGACUAAACACAUCCCAAACACAUACCCCUUGAUAAGUUCUCCCCAAAUUAAACUACAUUGACUGACAAAUCUACUGGAAACCCAAUUAAACAGCAUUGUCAAUACAUUAUAGAUAUUCUGCUUCAUUGUAUUCUGUUUGGGAGGCGAGGAGGUAAAUAUUUUGUGAAGCUUAAUUACCUAAUCUUUAAUAAAUACGCUAAUAUUGCCUCUUUAACUUGAAAACACUGAGUUGACAUCAGAAUUUUAUGGUGCCAAGGUUCCACAUAAACUGCAAUCAUUCCUUCCUAAACAACAUGUAAAUGGCUUAACGGUUCUUUGAUACCCAUAAAUAUAUUUGUUACCUACACUUUACAAGUCAUAUGGCUUUGUAAGUAAGUAAUAAAAUUAACCCAUGUUUUUAAAUGUACAUAAAAUCCUUAUCAAAAUUUCACUAAACACUAGAGUAAAGGAAUAAUCUUUGUUACAUAAAGAUGAUAUUUUUACUUAAGCUGGAAGAAAUUGAGGAAACCCGUCUUUGAUUCUGCCAAAUUUAUCUGGAAGAAUUUCAACCCACAAUUGUCUCACAAAGUCUAAAUAAGUGUUAGCACAAAAACAGUUUCUCUUUUUGUUUUUCAGAGAUUUGUUAGAAGAACAAUUUAUCCUAUGCCUCCUUAUGUCUCCUCUCCCUCUUUCAUUUUUCCCCUGCCAUAGGUAAACAAAGCAGCCAAUAUAUCUGAAGCCAAAUCUAAUUUCUUUAAUAAAAUGUGAAGUUCAGCCUCCAAAUAUUUAAUUGUGUAUGGAAGUGUACAAAAGGUAUUUAAUAAAACAAGGCUUAUAUCAGUGGAAAAAAACUUUCAUAACAAAACAACUCUUAUUAUCCACUUCAAAUCAGACAUAAAUUUACUUUUAAAGUAGGAGAGAGAGAGAAUGCAAAUGUAUUUGUUUGUUAUUUCUUACCUCUUAUUCACAAAACCGGAAGAAAAAUUUGCCUCCAGAAAAUUCCUAACUGUACUACAGGGUCUAUUUAAGCUUCCUGAUACAGAAUAAUAAUAGCCUUUCCCAAAUACACUUUUCCUUUCCAAUCAACUCACACUGUGGUAUUCAUGAAAUUCCUGGAUGGAAUCUACUCUCUAACUGGAAGGUGAACAUGUGACCAAGUGUAAGCCAUUAACACAAUCUAUCACAGAGGCUAGAGUACUUGGUUCAAUGUCAGGCAUUUGAGCCAGGUCAGGACAAUAAAAAUGACUCUCAGAAAAUUUGUUUGGAAUUCCAGAAGAGCCACUUUCAGAUGGUGUGAUAUGGUAGGCACCGAGCAUUAUAAUACACAUGGUCGAACUAUGAUAGUACAGGGAUAGGAUUCAUUUUUGCUUGAUCAGUGUGUUUUUAUAAUAGAACUAUAGAGGGGACAGAUUGAACAUCAAAGUAAGAUGGGUACUAUAGUACUUGAUCACUCAUUAGAUCAGUUCCCUUGAAAUCUCAAUGCCAAGUAAGAUGGUCUAAUUAUUAUUGGUCGAAUUACUUAUGUUUUAGAAAGAUUGUUUUAGUAAUAAUAAAAUUUGAAAAAUUUUUUCUGCCUGUGUUGUACUAAUACCAAUAUUGUUUUAGUAAUAAUAAAGUUUGAAAAAUUUUUUCUGCCUGUGUUGUACUAAUACUAAUAUAACUUUUAUCCAUCAUAUACACAAAAUAUAUUUAAGAACUGAGCCUUAAAUUGAAUUAAUUUUUCUUACCUUUUUAGAGAGAAGAGAAAACAUGAUAACAGUCUGCAUAAGAAAAGUCCCAUACAAAGUAUCAUAUGAUUUUCAUCCAACAAUGAAAGUAAGACCAUGACAAACAGAACUUCAAGUAUGUCUUACUUUUUGUAGCAUUCUCAAAUGAAGAUCACACAUUCACUCAAGCUUCAGCAUUUCAAGACUUAAAGAAAAGAAAUACUCAAGCUAUUAUUCUGAGAAAUUCUUCUAAUAUCCAUGAAGACUUGAUACUCUGUACACAAUUUCUGUAUUAUAACCAUAUGCUUACAUGUCUAUACGCUUUCAAGACUUUAAAUUCAUAGAAAGGAGGGCCUGCAUUUUUUUAAUCUUCCUCCCACAGUUUCUGAAACACAAUUGUAUUAA
rnacentral:lncRNA from 1 species